rnacentral:rRNA from 1 species
CAGUCGCCACGGUAAUACGUAGGGGGCAAGCGUUAUCCGGAAUAACUGGGCGUAAAGGGUGCGCAGGUGGUUUAACAAGUUAGUGGUGAAAGGCAUAGGCUCAACCAAUGUAAGCCAUUAAAACUGUUUAACUUGAGUGCAGGAGAGGAAAGUGGAAUUCCUAGUGUAGCGGUGAAAUGCGUAGAUAUUAGGAGGAAUACCAGUGGCGAAGGCGACUUUCUGGACUGCAACUGACACUGAGGCACGAAAGCGUGGGGAGCAAACAGGAUUAGAUACCCCAGUAGUCCCUGUCUCUUAUACC